UCGGACGUGGUGCACGGCGCGCUCCCGCUGGUUAUUACUGUCUGGUCAGAUCGUGAAUGCGGGAAGCCCGGGUUCGACCCCCGGCGUUCGAA